AGGAUGGAUGGAUGACAUUAAUAAGUGCAUCAUUAAAUAAAAAUCCUCAAGUCGUUGAAGUUUUGAUUCAAUGUGGCGCAAAUCAAUAUUUGAAAACUAAUGCUGUUUGCUAGUUGACUCAUUUGCAUAAUUCACCAGACCAUGGUCUCAUCACAAUGAUGUAUUAUGAUAAUGAAUAUUCAUUGUCAAACACUUGAAAACUACAAAAAUCAGGAUACUGCUAAAAUGACACCACAGCAAGAGCAACUUCUAGAUAGCAUGUGCAUUUCACCACAGCGAAUCACGCACGUUGUAACCUUCUACCACUUGGAUAGGCCAGGGAACAUUUUAAAAACGCUGAACAUUGCAAAGAUUUCAGCAAACCGGUGGACUCAUCCUGCUCAGCUCAAUGGCUAUAAUGUUGCUUUCUUGUUUUGUGCUUGUUAAUUCUGCUGAAUGAAAUUCUGAAGAAAAUUUAGACAUUGCACCUCUGCAACAAGUGGACCAGCCCUGCUUGGCUGAAUGGCGAAUUUUGCUUCCUUUACUGAAUGAAUGUGGCAACUGAUUCGGUAAUUCAAGCAUUCAAUUCUGGUUAUAUAUUUGAAAUAAAUAUUCAUUGUAUUUAUUUAGUAUUGUACAAUAUUUUGAAAUAAAUAAAUAUUAAUUGUAUUCAGUUU
rnacentral:lncRNA from 1 species